rnacentral:rRNA from 1 species
AUUGAACGCUGGCGGCAGGCCUAACACAUGCAAGUCGAGCGAGCGGCGGAGGGGAGAGUAAUGUAUGGGGCUCCGCCCGGGAGAGGGGGAUAAACACUGGAAGCGGUGGCAAAUCCCGUAUUCACUAAGAUGAACCCAUAUGGGAAUAGAGAGUAGGUGGGGUCAAGUCACACCUAGGCGACGAUCUCUAGCUGGUCUGAGAGGAUGAUCAGCCACACUGGGACUGAGACACGGCCCAGACUCCUACGGGAGGCAGCAGUGGGGAAUAUUGCACAAUGGGCGCAAGCCUGAUGCAGCCAUGCCGCGUGUAUGAAGAAGGCCUUAGGGUUGUAAAGUACUUUCAGCGGGGAGGCGUUACCCGCAGAAGAAGCACCGGCUAACUCCGUGCCAGCAGCCGCGGUAAUUC